UACUUGUAUACUCAAACUGUGGCCAGUGAUAUUGGCAGGACCAAAAGUGCUGUAGGCCAAAUGAGCAGGACUAAGGUGCUGUAGGCCAAAUGAGCAGGACUAAGGUGCUGUAGGCCAAAUGAGCAGGACUAAGGUGCUGUAGGCCAAAUGAGCAGGACUAAGGUGCUGUAGGCCAAAUGAGCAGGACUGAGGUGCUGUAGGCCAAAUGAGCAGGACUGAGGUGCUGUAGGCCAAAUGAGCAGGACUGAGGUGCUGUAGGCAAGUACACGUCUUCCCAAG